AGCGGCAGGCUUAACACAUGCAAGGUCGAGGGGGCAGCACGGGUAGCAAUACCUGGUGGACGACCGGCGCAAGGGGUGCGUAACGCGUGAGCAACAUGCCCUAUACAGGGGGAUAAGUCCAGGGAAACUUGGUCUAAUAUCCCAUAGUAUUUAGAGGAGGCAUCUUCUAUAAAUUAAAGCUUCGGGUGGUAUAGGAUUGGCUCGCGUGACAUUAGCUAGAUGGUGAGGUAACGGCUCACCAUGGCAAUGAUGUCUAGGGGUUCUGAGAGGAAGGCCCCCCACACUGGGACUGAGACACGGCCCAGACUCCUACGGGAGGCAGCAGUGAGGAAUAUUGGACAAUGGAUGGAAAUCUGAUCCAGCCAUGCCGCGUGCAGGAAGACAGCCCUAUGGGUUGUAAACUGCUUUUAUAUGGGAGCAAUAAGGUCUACGUGUAGACUGAUGAGAGUACCAUAUGAAUAAGCAUCGGCUAACUCCGUG
rnacentral:rRNA from 1 species